GAAACAUCUAAGUACCCGGAGGAAAGGAAAUCAACAGAUACUCCCCUAGUAGUGGCGAGCGAACGGGGAUCAGCCGAGCCGUGAGAAUGACCAGAAUGGCCUGGAAAGGCCAGCCAUAGUGGGUGACAGCCCCGUAUGGGAAGUUUGAUCGGACGUAUUAAGUAGGGGCGGGACACGUGAAAUCCUGUCUGAAGAUCGGGGGACCACCCUCGAAGGCUAAGUACUCCUUACUGACCGAUAGCGAACCAGUACCGUGAGGGAAAGGUGAAAAGCACCCCGACGAGGGGAGUGAAACAGUUUCUGAAACCGGACGCCUACAAGCAGUCGGAGCCUCCUUGAGAGGUGACGGCGUACCUUUUUGUAUAAUGGGGUCAACGACUUGGUCUAUCUAGCAAGCUUAAGCCGUAGGUGUAGGCGCAGCGAAAGCGAGUCUUAAAUGGGCGACUUAGUUAGAUGGAUCAGACCCGAAACCAGAUGAUCUAGGCAUGAGCAGGAUGAAGGUUGGGUAACACAACUGGAGGUCCGAACCACACCU
rnacentral:rRNA from 1 species